AUCUCGGUAGUCUAAAGAUUAAGGUGCUCGCACGGAAUGUAAGAGAUCCGGGUUCAACUCUCGGCCGAGACA
rnacentral:tRNA from 1 species